UUCUAUGACGUUAGCGGCGGACGGGUGAGUAACACGUGGGCAACCUGCCUGUAAGACUGGGAUAACUUCGGGAAACCGAAGCUAAUACCGGAUAGGAUCUUCUCCUUCAUGGGAGAUGAUUGAAAGAUGGUUUCGGCUAUCACUUACAGAUGGGCCCGCGGUGCAUUAGCUAGUUGGUGAGGUAACGGCUCACCAAGGCAACGAUGCAUAGCCGACCUGAGAGGGUGAUCGGCCACACUGGGACUGAGACACGGCCCAGACUCCUACGGGAGGCAGCAGUAGGGAAUCUUCCGCAAUGGACGAAAGUCUGACGGAGCAACGCCGCGUGAGUGAUGAAGGCUUUCGGGUCGUAAAACUCUGUUGUUAGGGAAGAACAAGUACGAGAGUAACUGCUCGUACCUUGACGGUACCUAACCAGAAAGCCACGGCUAACUACGUGCCAGCAGCCGCGGUAAUACGUAGGUGGCAAGCGUUAUCCGGAAUUAUUGGGCGUAAAGCGCGCGC
rnacentral:rRNA from 2 species